CUGGCCACACGCCUCGGGCCCAACAUUGUGGUGACAGGUAGGUUGGUGGUCCUUGUGAGCAAGAAGAUACGGCAUGAGCCUGAGGUGUACCGCCACUUGUAUAUAUCUUGGUGGUAGUAACAAACAUUUAGGUGACAAAUUUCAGAGCCGAUCAGGGGACGGGUUUCUUAGGAACUGCCACUGUCCACGGGUCAGGCGGCUAGAUGUGAUUUGAUAACUAGGAACGGAAUCGAAGUGCCCGACAUUUUCAGGUCACGGCUGGUGUAGCUUUGUGUGACAGCCCCCUUCAACUAAGCGGAAUCGUGGUGAUAUCCCCGACCCUUCACACAAAUGUGUGUGCAUUCUGGUGUCGUAACUGUUUGCAUCUAGCACGCCAGCAAGGAUUGUGGGUAGAGUACACUUUUGUUUAUUAAAAGUGCAUCACGCUCUGGAAUUGCAUGUCCGCAACUUGAGGAUUAGCCAACUAAUCUGUCUUAUUUUUUGUGGUGUGCGGAGUUCUCAUCUCGAACUUCGAAUAACCAAAAGAGGCAAAUUACCUUUCUUGGACAACUGUAUACAUAUCCGCAUCAUGUCGUUACGUUUAACAGCAGUUAGCAUUUGCACAACGUAGGUGAAAGAAGUCCUAAAACAGAUGUCCUUAACGACCGAGUCAAAUGGAUUGGGGUCAUAUACAUUUUGUUCGAUCUGGAGACUGGGUUUCCCGCUGCUACGCGGGUGGGCGUGGUCUGUGGGAUUAAAAAACGCUGAUCAGGCUCCUGAUGGGCAAUUUCAGAUGGUUUGCACGCAGCAGGCACGGGCAACUCUGUACGUUUUCACGGCUUUGCAUUUUUUGACAUUUAUCGACAAGCUCUUGGCUGGCACGUACCAAAAAAAUCCAGCUGUCUGAUUAAAACCGAACACUGCAAUCUCUGUUGACCGGUUUCGACCCAACGUGAUUUUUGUCCGGUGCUCUGAAUCGAAGUGUAAGGAACUUCGAUGAAGCACUUGUAAAUGGCGGGAAUAACCACUGAUCUCUUCAGGUCGUCAAAUACCUCGUCAUCUAAGUAGCUACGACCACGAAUGGAUUAACGAGAGUCCUGCUAUCUCUCCCUGCUAUGAGGCAAAGCAUAUCCUUUUGAACCGGCUUGCCAGUACUCGCGUAGGUAGAAAGGGCUGAUGAACUUGGCUCUAGUCCGACCAUUUGAGGACACACUAAAAGUGUAGCAUAAGCCGGCGGAAAUUUUUAGCUUGCUGCCUAUGAAUCACCACUAGAAUCAUCACUGUCUCGAUAAUUCAGUGGAAAUGUUAAUGUUUUUUUCCUGAAGUUCGUGGUUCCGCUGCACUUGUCCGUACCUUAGUCAUGUUAGGUGAGUCAAGACAUCGUCGAGGUGUUUGAGUUUGCCCGUGACAUUUGACUCGUUCUGAAGACGAAGUCAGGUAGAGUGUUGGGCUCGGCGUUACACCAGUCAAAGGAUAAUGCAGGUGUCCAAAUGUGAGCUCAGUCAGGCUGGGAACCUGGCUGGAAGUUUCAGUAGGAAUACUUACGGUGAAAACACGGUUUAUCGAACCAAUUGAUUUUGAUGCAAACAGGUUACAGCAACAGCGCCCAGAAAGGUUGCCACAGGGCUAACUGUCUUGUGGCUGCCAAGAGUUCAUGGGGAUGUUAAUUUUGAUCGUCGGAUGAUGGCUCCCUUUGCGUUGAGACGCAAGAUUCGCCAAACCGUAAACUGCACACCCUCUGACAUUUGCAGAUAUUUGGCAUAUAGGUCCGGCCGAAAGACCAAUGAUGCACAGCUACCAUCUAAAAGCUUAUGACUGAAAACCUUCAGGGGUGAAUCCGCACAGAUGUGCAAACAUGUAUCUUGAGGAGCUCACGAAGCGAGGCUUAUGUUUCCCUUCUGGCGCUUGCCCUAGACCAUGUGUCUAGAUUGGCCCAUUAGGUGCAGUGUAAAAAAGCGAUUACCGAAAUCGUUCACCUGGUGUGCGGAGUACGAGAAUCAAGUCUAGAAUGAGCGCAAAGGCAAUAAGUUGUCAGUAGAAGACCUAGUAUUUUAUCGCGGAGGCGUAAGCGUUCGGCCUCUAUUGGGCUGCGCGAUUGGGUCGUAUCUCUAUAUGUAGUAAUGAUA
rnacentral:ncRNA from 1 species